CCUGUCAGCAUGAACGUAGCAUCAGUUUGCAUUCAGUGCGACAGCCUCUAGUGCGCCAACCUUUGGGAAAACCUAUCCUAGGAGAUCCGGUGAAGGAUCCAGCGGAUGAUCCACUGGCCGGAUGAUCCAAAGGACAGAUGGUAGUCCACAACUUACUCCGAGACGGUAUUAAUGUGAUCCC